UGAAAGGCAAUAUUACUCGUCCUGUUGCAUCUACACGACUCCUGAAACAGAAUGCUACGGGCACCAGUGACAGUCACAACAAAGUUUAUUGCAAUGAGAGGCCUUGCACCCUGAACUUUUUCCGCACCAAUUUCGCCAUCUUUGUUUUUCCCCGAUGAGUCCCUUGGUGGAGCAGACACACCAUGCGUCGCCCAAGUGCCACGGACCAGAAUUCUUUGGGCACUUGGGGUCCCCUUCCCUCACAGGCAUCCAGGACGGCCACUACCACCUGAGUCAAUUUUUUUGUCGGUCUCUCUUCCUG